rnacentral:rRNA from 1 species
GAUGAACGCUGGCGGCGUGCCUAAUACAUGCAAGUCGAGCGAACAGACGAGGAGCUUGCUCCUCUGACGUUAGCGGCGGACGGGUGAGUAACACGUGGAUAACCUACCUAUAAGACUGGGAUAACUUCGGGAAACCGGAGCUAAUACCGGAUAAUAUAUUGAACCGCAUGGUUCAAUAGUGAAAGACGGUUUUGCUGUCACUUAUAGAUGGAUCCGCGCCGGAUUAGCUAGUUGGUAAGGUAACGGCUUACCAAGGCGACGAUGCGUAGCCGACCUGAGAGGGUGAUCGGCCACACUGGAACUGAGACACGGUCCAGACUCCUACGGGAGGCAGCAGUAGGGAAUCUUCCGCAAUGGGCGCAAGCCUGACGGAGCAACGCCGCGUGAGUGAUGAAGGUCUUCGGAUCGUAAAGCUCUGUUAUUAGGGAAGAACAAAUGUGUAAGUAACUAUGCCCGUCUUGACGGUACCUAAUCAGAAAGCAACGGCUAACUACGUG